ACUGGAGAAGUACUUCGGAGCCAGCAAACGGCACAGCAGUUUGAGGGGGGCCACACCACCUACAGCUGGAGAAGGAAGAAAGGAUGUCACGCUUGAAUGGACACAGGUACUCACGUUUUUAUACGCUAGUCCCCAAGCAAUUGUGUGGUAGUGGCAGUGACAGCAGUGGCAACAAGGACUCAUAGAAGCCUAAAACUCUGAGAGAGGGGGAAACCUCCUCUCCUGUCAGAAGAGAUGUGGUCCCAAAGGGGGCUUUGGUUUUACAGGCAUGGAAGUACCAACAAAGAGGUGUUUGUGCAGAAGCUGUAGGAUUUCUUCUUCAAUCACCUUCAUCCAUGAAGAGGCCCAGAUGAUGCCCAAAGCAGGAAGAUGCCAGGCAAAAUGGUCACAUGUUCAGACUCUGGAGAUUUAGACAGUGUCAUUCUAAACAAGAUUCUUCUUAGAGUUUUGUCAGUUUGGGGUCUGAACAAAGAUAUGCUCAGAAUCGAAAGCACAGAUAUUCUUGGGUUUUUACAGUCACAAAUUAUAAUGAUAAUUCAUGUUUCAGGAAGCACCUCAAUUUCUCUCUUAGGUUGUGAAAUCCUUCGGUGCCUUCAGGCAAAAGAGGUCGACAUGAAUUAGUCUUGAUUGGUUUGGGACACUGAAAUGAUUCUGGGACAGCAGAGGAAUGCUUGGCACCAAUGUUUCCCAAAUUGAUGCCACAGAACAAUAAUCCCAAAAGCUAUUGAGAGAGGGGGAGGGAGCGAAAGAGGGAGAGGUAGGGAGAAGAGAAGGAAAUAUAGUCUGGAAAACUGGAAAACGCCACAUGUUCUAUUUUUCUCUUGGAGAUUCCCAAUGCAUAUUAAUAUAUUAAUGCCCUGAGAAAUUUCACAGAAAGAAUUCUAUUUGCCUCUAUUUAAUCUGAUUUCCCAAACUUAGUUGACAAUAGGUUGUUUUUCCCAUAUAACUCCAAAUAGUAAUAAUUCAGUUAAACUCACUUUGGUACUCGCUGCUCUACCGCAAACCCAGAGUGUGGACUUUGGUGGCUAAAGAUAGACUUGGCGUAUGCUAAUUAAUUCUUUCUUCUCCGGCUGGGUUCUUUGCCCACUCAGUUUAUCCCAAAAUUCAGGACAAGUUUUCCAAAGACAUAAAGUAGGCACUUGCUCACUUGCUUGAAUGUCAGAGACAGUAGAUUAACAAUAAUAAUCAUAGCAAAUGCAUACCUGGUACUCACUACGUGUCAGGUAUUUUUCCAAGCACUUUAUGUAUGUUAACCAGUUUAGUUGGCGUGACAACCCUUUGACUUAAGCACUAUUAUUAUCCCCAUUUUAUACAUGUGGAAACUGAGGCACAGAGCUACUUGCCCAAGGUCACACACAGACAACAAAUGGCUGAGCCGGGAUUCAAACUAGGCAGUCCGGAUCCAGAGUUCACAUUCUUGACCACAGUGUAUACUGCCUCUCAGAUGAGAUCCAUGCCCUGCUCCCUGAAAUGCCACGGCUAUUCGUCCGUUUCUUUGGCACUGUAAGUCUGUGAUCUUUCAGAACUCCACUGGAAAGCAGUGUCCUCUCAGUGAGCACUGCAAGGCCCUGUGUAGAGGCUGUCCUUUCUCUCUAGAAUGUUUUCACUACUCUUUCUUGUCCGGUAAACUCCUGGUCAUCUUUCAAGACCUAGCCCAAAUGUCACCUCACAGCCCGAUUCCCGGCCAAGAAGCUUUCGCAGAAACUCCGAAGAGCUGUCUGACCGCAGCUGUGGUACAGAUCUUGUCUGUAUUUUGCUGUGAUUGCUUUGCUUUGUAUGCAUGUUUAUUUUUUGUCACCAGCCUAUGACGUUCUCAAUUGCAGAACCUUUGUUUCAGGCACUGUGGUAGGGUAGGCACUGAAGGGUAGAAAGAUGCAUGAGAUGUGGUCCCCGACCUCAGAGAGCCCCCGAGCCUUUUACCACUGUUCUAGAUAGACACACCUGAUAUUUGACAAAGGCUGGAGAGCUGCAAGAAAAGGGUUUUGUGGGCACAGAGGACAGAACAAUUACUGCUGAUUAGAGAGAGGUGAUAUUUGAGCUGGGACUAAAUGAUGAGGAAUUUCAGUGGGAGAAUGAAUGAGUGAAGGAAUCCUUCGGGAAAACAGUUUUGUGAUAUUUUUAUGGCACAAGAGGGAAAGGAUUAGACUUGGAACCCGUACUGGCAGGGGCUGCAGUUGGCCCUGUGACUUCAGGCAAAUCACUUCAUUUUUCUGUGCUUCAGUUUAUCAAUCUGUAAAAUUGGAAUAAUAACCACUCAUUUCCCAGGAUGUUUUUUGAGAAUUAAGUAAAGUCACGUGUGGAAAAGUGCUUUGUGUUAAAUGCCAAAUGCCAUAAAGGUGUUUGGUAUAAUUAUGCUUCUUAAUUCCUCUUGUAUCUUGUCUCUUAAGAAUUCGGUAAGAUGGGAAACAGCGAUUGAGAACUUACUCUGUGGCAGGCACCAUUCUCUGUCUCUUCUGGGUACUAUUUCAUUUACCGUCCCAACAAUCCUAUAAGGCAGAUAUAUUAUUAUUGUGGUCAUUCUACAAAUGAGGAAAACAAGGCGCAGAGAACUUCAGUUGUCCUGCCCAGGGUCACACAGCUAGUAACUCCUGGGGUCCACAUUCAAACCCAAGUGUUAACACAGAGCCCCUGAUCAGAGACUAAAAAUGUAUUAAAGAUCCUCUCAGUCUGAGCCAGCUAUGACACAUCAAUCAGCUGAGAAUGGAGAGAUGCAACAGGUGACCCUCCUCUGAUGAGACAGAGAUCAAGAUCCCCUCUUUCACCUCCAUCAGCGGAUAAAUUGAACAUAUGGUUAGUUAUAAGAACCACAGAGCUCGCAUUUUUCCCCCAGACAUUUUCUGUUCUUUACUUAAACACUGAUCAGAAGAAAAACCAAGACACAAAAGUUAAACUGAUUCCUUUUGUGUGUGUGUAUGAGGAAGAUUGGCCCUAAGCUAACAUCUGUUGCCAAUCUUCCUCUUUUUGCUGAGGAAGAUUGUCACUGAGCUAACAUCUGUGCCAAUCUUCCUCCACUUUUUAUGUGGGACACUGCCACAGCAUGGCUUGAUGAGCCAUAUCUAGGUCUGCACCCAGGAUCCAAACCCGCAAACCCCAGGCCGCCAAAGCAGAGCCUGAAAACUUAACCACCAUGGCACCAGGCCGGCCACAGAGAUUCCAUUUUUAAAAAGUGGAAUAGAUGGGGGCUGGCCCCAUGGCCGAGUGGUUAAGUUCGCGCGCUCCGCUGCAGGCGGCCCAGUGUUUCGUUAGUUCGAACCCUGGGCGCGGACAUGGCACUGCUCAUCAGACCACGCUGAGGCAGCGUCCCACAUGCCACAACUAGAAGAACCCACAACGAAGAAUACACAACUAUGUACCGGGAGGCUUUGGGGAGAAAAAGGAAAAAAUAAAAAAUCUUAAAAAAAAAAAAAAAGGAAUAGAUGAACAUUCUCCUAGUGAAACCUAGCCUGACAACAUCAUUGUUAAGGAAUACAAAGCCAACAGCUGGAUAAAUCAUCAAAAUGAGGCCCAACAUUCGUUCAAAUCAAGUGGCAUUUAUCCAUAUUCUAAAAUGGCUCUCUAAGGUUUUUAUUCCAUUGGUAUGAGAGUUCCAAUAGAACCCUAAAGCGAUUAUAUAGAACACUAGGGCUAUUUAAUAGCUUCUAACUUAGCAAGCCAUGGUAAUUUAAAAGGGAGCGGAUGAGCUGCUGGGAGCAGGGAGAUUUCUGCUGAAGAAUACAAAUGUGUUCUCUGCUACACUGCGUCUGCCUCUUUCUGGGGAAAGGCAAAAUGCACACAGGAAUGUGAUGGAACUUUCCAGCUGGUGGUUUUGUGUUAUCAGAAGGCAAGUGUUUGUGAAAACGAAAAUUACUGAUAAUUAGGUGUGAAAGCCUGUAAGGGAGAAAAAUGGAGAAACAUUGCAGCGUCUUUAUUUAUACCAAAGGCUGAAGACUAUUGGUGGCAGUGUGAAUUGCUGCAAUCUUCUGGGAGGACGCUUAGCAAUGGGCUGGCACUUUGACCCAGCAAUUCCACUUCCAGGAAUCUGCUUUAUAGUAAUACUUGCACAUGUUCACAAAGGUCUGUGUACAAGGAUGUUCACCGUAGCAAGUGUUUGUAGGUAUGAAAAAUGGAAAUAAUCUAUAUCUAUCAAGAUAAAAAUAUUUAAACAAUAUUUAAACAGCAUAUCCACGUUUCAGAAAAGUUUGCUGCUAAUAAAUGGAAUGAGAUCUAUAUAUUCUGACAUGAAAAGGUGUCUCUGAUAUGUUAAGUGAAAAAAAGCAAAUUUCAAAAUAGUAUCUAUCACAUGAUUCAAUUUAAAAAUGUUUUCAGGGGCCAGCCCAGUGGUGCAGCAGUUAAGUUCCCACAUUCCACUUCGGUGGCCCAGGGUUCACCAGAUCGGAUCCUGGGUGCGGACAUGGCACCACAUGGCAAGCCAUGCUGUAGCAAGUGUCCCACAUACAAGGUGGAGGAGGAUUGGCACGGAUGUUAGCUCAGAGCCAGUCUUCCUCAGCAAAAAAAGAGGAAGUUUGGCAGACGUUAGCUCAGGGCUGAUCUUCCUCAAAAAAAAAAAAAAGGUAAAAAAAAAUGUAAAAGUGUUUUCAAUGUUAAUGUAGUCAUAGAAAAAUAUCUGGAGGUAUAUGUACCAAAGAUUACCAGCGGUUCCCUCUGGGGGAUGGUAUAGAUAUUUUCAUAAUGUACAUUUUUAUGAGCAUGGAUUACUUUCGCAAAGAGAGGGGAAAAAACAAAGAGUUGAAUUAUUUCCUCAAGGGAAGAAAGAAAAAGAAAAAGAAACCCGGCUGGUAGAGGUUUAUUCACUGUCUUUGGGUGAAAGGUUUCAGUGCAAUUCCACAGAGAGUGCAUUUCAGAUUCUGGCAGUCUCGGCAAGGAUGCGUUUAGUCAGAAUGGACCAAAAUGACUGUGCUCGCAUCGAGACACUGCGACGCACUGCGUCUCCCUCCUCUGUCCUUGUCCUGGUCUCUUGAUUGUCCUUUUGCCUGCUGCUGCUGCUCCUCAACCUUUGCUCAUGGACAAGAACCAGCUGAUUUCCCAGCCCCUUCUCUUGCCUCACAAGCUGCCCGUUGUAGAAGUCACCAAAACAUGGUGGUAAAGAGCUUGGCCUAUGGAGUUUGGGGGCCCUGGGUUCAAAUCCUGACUUCACCACUCUCCUGUGUAACUUUGGGAAGCUUGCUUCUCCUUUUAGGGCCUCUGUUUCCUCACAUGAAAAAUGAUGAUAAUCUUAGAGAACCUGCUUCAGAGGGUCUUUGGAAUGAUGAAAAUGGAUAAGUAUAGAAAGCGCUUGGAGGGGCGGCCCUGGGGCCGAGGGUUUAAGUUCAUGCGCUCUGCUUCAGGGGCCCGGGGUUUCGCGGUUCGGAUCCUGGGCAUGGACAGGGCACCGCUGAUCAGGCCAUGCUGAGGCGGCAUCCCACAUGCCACAACUAGAAGGACCCACAACUAAAAUACACCACUAUGUACUAGGGGGCUUUGGGGAGA
ensembl:lncRNA